CCCUUGAAGUAGGGGAUAACACUUGGAAACAGGUGCUAAUACCGUAUAACAACCAAAACCACCUGGUUUUGGUUUAAAAGACGGCUUCGGCUGUCACUUUAGGAUGGACCCGCGGCGUAUUAGCUUGUUGGUAAGGUAACGGCCUACCAAGGCGAUGAUACGUAGCCGACCUGAGAGGGUAAUCGGCCACAUUGGGACUGAGACACGGCCCAAACUCCUACGGGAGGCAGCAGUAGGGAAUCUUCCACAAUGGACGAAAGUCUGAUGGAGCAACGCCGCGUGAGUGAUGAAGGGUUUCGGCUCGUAAAACUCUGUUGUUGGAGAAGAACAGGUGUCAGAGUAACUGUUGACAUCUUGACGGUAUCCAACCAGAAAGCCACGGCUAACUACGUGCCAGCAGCCGCGGUAAUACGUAGGUGGCAAGCGUUGUCCGGAUUUAUUGGGCGUAAAGCGAGCGCAGGCGGUUUUUUAGGUCUGAUGUGAAAGCCUUCGGCUUAACCGGAGAAGUGCAUCGGAAACCGGGAGACUUGAGUGCAGAAGAGGACAGUGGAACUCCAUGUGUAGCGGUGAAAUGCGUAGAUAUAUGGAAGAACACCAGUGGCGAAGGCGGCUGUCCGGUCUGUAACUGACGCUGAGGCUCGAAAGCAUGGGUAGCGAAC
rnacentral:rRNA from 1 species